rnacentral:rRNA from 1 species
GGGAUUAGAUACCCCACUAUGCUUAGCCUUAAACCUAGAUGUUCAAUUUACAAGCAGCAUCCGCCAGGGUACUACAAGCGCUAGCUUAAAACCCAAAGGACUUGACGGUGUCUCAGACCCACCUAGAGGAGCCUGUUCUAGAACCGAUAAUCCCCGUUAAACCUCACCACCCCUUGUUUUCCCCGCCUAUAUACCGCCGUCGCAAGCUUACCCUGUGAAGGUUUCAUAGUAAGCAAAAUGGGUACAUCCCAAAACGUCAGGUCGAGGUGUAGCUUACGAGGUGGGAAGAAAUGGGCUACAUUUUCUACAUCAGAAUAAUACGAACAGCACCAUGAAAUUUGUGCUUGAAGGUGGAUUUAGUAGUAAAAAAUAAAUAGAGAGUCUUUUUGAACCAGGCUCUGAGACGCGCACACACCGCCCC